rnacentral:rRNA from 1 species
CCUACGGGUGGCAGCAGUGGGGAAUAUUGGGCAAUGGGCGCAAGCCUGACCCAGCAACGCCGCGUGAAGGAAGAAGGCUUUCGGGUUGUAAACUUCUUUUCUUAGGGACGAAGCAAGUGACGGUACCUGAGGAAUAAGCCACGGCUAACUACGUGCCAGCAGCCGCGGUAAUACGUAGGUGGCAAGCGUUAUCCGGAUUUACUGGGUGUAAAGGGCGUGUAGGCGGGAAAGCAAGUCAGAUGUGAAAACCAUGGGCUCAACCUGUGGACUGCAUUUGAAACUGUUUUUCUUGAGUACUGGAGAGGCAGGCGGAAUUCCUGGUGUAGCGGUGAAAUGCGUAGAGAUUAGGAGGAACCCCAGUGGCGAAGGCGGUCUGCUGGACAGCAACUGACGCUGAGGCGCGAAAGCGUGGGGAGCAAACAGGAUUAGAUACCCGGGUAGUC